UACGAAGGUGGCAAGCGUUGUUCGGAUUCACUGGGCGUACAGGGUGUGUAGGCGGUUUGGUAAGCCUUCUGUUAAAGCUUCGGGCCCAACCCGGAAAGCGCAGAGGGUACUGCCAGGCUAGAGGGCCGGAGAGGAGAUCGGAAUUCACGGUGUAGCAGUGAAAUGCGUAGAGCUCGUGAGGAAGACCGGUGGCGAAGGCGGAUCUCUGGACGGCCCCUGACGCUGAGGCGCGAAGGCUAGGGGAGCAAACGGG
rnacentral:rRNA from 1 species